rnacentral:rRNA from 1 species
CGGGGAUAAACCCGGGAAACUGGGUAUAAUACCCGAUAGGUCUCGAUUGCUGGAAUGCAUCGAGAUUUAAAGCUCCGGCGCCUAAGGAUGGGUCUGCGGCCUAUCAGGUAGUAGUGGGUGUAGCGUACCUACUAGCCUACGACGGGUACGGGUUGUGAGAGCAAGAGCCCGGAGAUGGAUUCUGAGACACGAAUCCAGGCCCUACGGGGUGCAGCAGGCGCGAAAACUUUACAAUGCUGGCAACAGCGAUAAGGGAACCUCGAGUGCCAGGUUACAAAUCUGGCUGUCGAGAUGCCUAAAAAGCAUUUCAUAGCAAGGGCCGGGCAAGACCGGUGCCAGCCGCCGCGGUAACACCGGCGGCUCGAGUGGUAACCGUUAUUAUUGGGUCUAAAGGGUCUGUAGCCGGCCGGAUAAGUCUCUUGAGAAAU